GACGAACGCUGGCGGCGUGCUUAACACAUGCAAGUCGAACGGUAAGGCCCUUCGGGGUACACGAGUGGCGAACGGGUGAGUAACACGUGGGUGAUCUGCCCUGCACUUCGGGAUAAGCCUGGGAAACUGGGUCUAAUACCGGAUAGGACCACUGCCUGCAUGGGUGGUGGUGGAAAGCUUUUGCGGUGUGGGAUGGGCCCGCGGCCUAUCAGCUUGUUGGUGGGGUGAUGGCCUACCAAGGCGACGACGGGUAGCCGGCCUGAGAGGGUGACCGGCAACACGGGAACGGAGAUACGGCCCAGACUCCUACGGGAGGCAGCAGUGGGGAAUAUUGCACAAUGGGCGCAAGCCUGAUGCAGCGACGCCGCGUGAGGGAUGACGGCCUUCGGGUUGUAAACCUCUUUCAGCACCGACGAAGCGCAAGUGACGGUAGGUGCAGAAGAAGGACCGGCCAACUACGUGCCAGCAGCCGCCGCCG
rnacentral:rRNA from 1 species